UACGUAGGGGGCAAGCGUUGUCCGGAUUUAUUGGGCGUAAAGAGCGUGUAGGCGGUUAGGUAGGUCCGUUGUGAAAACUCGAGGCUCAACCUCGAGACGCCGAUGGAAACCAUCUAACUAGAGUCCGGAAGAGGAGAGUGGAAUUCCUGGUGUAGCGGUGAAAUGCGCAGAUAUCAGGAGGAACACCAAUGGCGAAGGCAGCUCGCUGGGACGGUACUGACGCUGAGGCGCGAAAGCGUGGGGAGCAAACAGG
rnacentral:rRNA from 1 species